UUUCCGUAGGUGAACCUGCGGAAGGAUCAUUAUUGGAUUUGAAAACUUAAAGCUGCUGCUGACUCUCCUCGGCGGGCGUGUGCACGCUUGUUGUCCCUUGUUUCUCCCACUGUCCACAAAUUGUAGACCUUUCGGUACGCCUGUGUUGUUUUUCACAAUCACUGAAUGUAAUAAAAUGUUUUUGAAUCUUUGUAAAUACAAUACAACUUUCAGCAACGGAUCUCUUGGCUCUCGCAUCGAUGAAGAACGCCGCAGACCAGAAGAGCACACGGCUGACCC
rnacentral:misc_RNA from 1 species